CCUGCUCAAUGCUUCGCACACGCACAUAGCGCACGGAACGUUGCAUGGUGCCAGAAGUGGCCGCCCGGUGCAACACUUUCCAGCGGGAGCAGGACUUCGGGUGCACCCAGGGACAGAAAUGGACGUGCUGAAGCCACCGGUACCACUACUCAUGACAGGUAAUAUGGGCAAGAAUUGGCAACGAUUCGAGCAGAUGCGGGAACUCUACUUCACGGUAACAAAGCCGCAUGACAAGCCCCUGAGCAAGGUAGCGAACACAGCUGUACUACUUAGCUUAGCAGGGGAGGACGCAUUAGAAGUUUUCAAGAACUUCUUCAGCGAAGGUGAAAGCAAAAACUACGAGAACGUCGUUGUCAAGUUUGGCGCAUACUGAGCGGCUGAAACAAACGUAGUGUACGAGCGGUAUCUGUUCCGGAAGCGGAUGCAGACAGCGCGGGAGAGUUUUGAACAGUUCGCACGAGACGGGAGGAUGCAAGCCCGAUCGUGCAAUUUUGGAGAGCUAACAGACUCCAUGAUUCGCGACCGAAUUGUGAUCGGCAUUAGCAGUGACAGCCUCCGGGCCAAACUCCUGCAAGACAACGAGCUCACGCUGGCUAAAGCCGAAAAAUAUUUGCAAGGCAUCAGAGGCAGCAGCUGUGCAAUGCGAAGUAUGGGCGGUUAACGUAAACGAAGUAGAUCCCUUCGAUGUCGCUCGGAUCUCAAGCAAGCAUCCAAAAACGUUCAAAUGCUCACGUUUUGGCAGAGAACAUAGGCCACGCGACUGCCCAGCUUAUGGCAAAACUUGCAGAAUCUGAAACGCAAGAAAUCACUUUGCUGUUUGCUGCAGAAGAGCGGCGCGCGUGGAUGAGCUCCAGGAUGACGGUGAUGGCAACGACUUCGAAAUUUUAGAUGUGUGUACCGGUAACAUACGGAAUGAACUUGAUUGUAUGGUGAUAGCGAGCCUUGGCGGCGACGAACUCAAAUUCAAAGUCGACACGGGAUCUCAAGCUAACGUCAUCCCGUAUUCAGCCUACAGGAAGCUGCGGCCAAUGCCACUUGUCAAACGCAGCAACACCACUUGCGGUCAUACGAUGGGGCCAUCAUCAAACACCUAGGGGUCAUCAGCCAAGAAGUAGUCAUCGGUGACAGACGCCAGCAUUUGGACUUCUGCGUCUCGGAGAAAAGAAGGCAGGCACUGCACGGGCUCAAGGCAAGUGAAUUGCUCGGGCUAGUUUCCAGGACAGUCGACGCAGUGGCAGCAAUCAACUCCGAACAAGUAAUGCAGGAAUUCGGCGAACUACUCGAAGGUACCGGCUGCAUACAGCGACACUACAAGGUGUUCCUGUCUGCGAAUGCUGUCCCAGUGGUUCAAGCGGCCAGACGAGUUCCUUUGGCCCUAAAGGAACCACUUCGCCACGAGCUGAAGCGGAUGGAGCAAGCAGGCAUCGUGACAAAGGUCAACGAACCGACUGAAUCGGAAAAGAACUCAUCUUGGCAGACAUGCUCUCGCGAGCCACAGCCGUGAUGCCAGACCAGGGCGACGCGGACGCUGAUGCCGAUGUGGAAAUCCAUGCUAAGUGGAGGAGUUGCGUGGCACAUCGGCGACGACCGUCAUUGACAAGCUGGGAGACAUAUUUGCGAGAUCUGGUGUCCCGUAUAAGGUGUGUACAGACAACGGACCUCAGUUGAGAAGCCGAGACUUCUGCCGGUUUGCAAGUAAGUAUGACUUCCGACAGGUCACCUCAAGCCUGGAGUUCCCGAUGUUCAACGGACUUGAUGAGAAAGGCGUGCAGGUAGCUAAAUGAAUAUUGAAGAAGAUGAAAGAAGCAAGAGAAGACUUCUGGCUGGGGCUACUUAGGUACAGGUCAACCCCCUUAGAAGAUGGACAAUCACCCGGAGAACUACUCCAAGGAAGGCGAUUAAGAUCGACUCUUCCUUAUUUCAGCAACCAGCAGAGGACGCAAGUGCGGAAACAUGUUCAAAAGAAAUAUUCGAGACGGGUUCUACCACCACUGGAAAAGAGACAGACUGUUAGGCUGAAGAAAAAGUUUUGGUCACGGAAAGCGAAAGUGGUUAAGCAGGUGUACCCAAGAUCGUACGAAGUCUUGACAGAGGACAACAAAACACUCCAUCGCAACAGGCAAGAUCUGCUCCCCACAGGUGAAGCUUUCAUCCAGGACGCACUGGAAGAUGACCACGCUACUGACGAACGCCAGCAAAGUACACACGCCACUCCCGACCUGCCCGACCAGAUUAACGUACCACCUGUAAUGGCGACAAACCCCACUACAUCAUUACGAAGAUCUCGCGGCCAGUUCAGACCACCUCAACGUCUGCAGUACGACUCGAAUUUACAACAGUUGUCUUGAACUCUUGAUUUUUUAAUACUGUGAGGACGUGGCAUUACAUAGCUGCUGUUCUAAUAUGUGUACUUUGAAAAGGAGAGGGAUGUAUCAUGAUCUGAUAGUACGCUUACCAGCGCAAACCAACGUCACUAUUUCUACUCGGCACGAGCCGUGCCCUUUCUCUUUACUUCUCCCUCUUUGCUCUUGGCGUGUCUUUAUAAGUAAGCGCAAUAAAGGACGCAAGCAGU